AAGGAAGGAAGAAAGGAGGAAGAGGCAGGCACAAGACAAAAUGAAUCUCUCCGCUGUGCACAUGGAGCCUUAGCUCUGAUUCCAGUUGAGCAAAAUUAUGAAGAAGAUGAUUCCCCAUAUGGAUGACAGAUAAACACCCUGUGGCGAGUCACUCACUCCCGAAAGGCCCUCUGAAGGAUCGCGCAUGUCCUGACUGCACAGCCUGCUCCUCCACGGUCCUUUCAAAGUCACUGCCUUUGGAUGUAAGUUUCUCAGAGAGAAUGAGCCUUGUGUCCAAUGCCUGGAAAGCAACAGCAUUUGGCCACCAAGUUCCUCUUCAUCCUCAUCAAGCAGCUUUUCCUGUUUUGUUUUUAGCUCCAACCUUAGGACAAUGGACAAGUCAAUCAGUCCAGAUUACCCUGCACCAGGGAAGAGAGGCACCUGACAGCUAUACCCUUCACCAAGUCCACGGGGACAAAGGCACAAGAGUAAUAGAAGCUGCAGGGAGAAUGCAAUUCUCAUCAACCCUUGGGGUUGCCGCAUUGUUUUUGCUCUGUUUUCCAGAAAGUCUUUAACGGAGGAGAAAGGGUGUGGAGGAAGGGAGGGCCUUGCCUAUUAGCAGAUAUUUCAAUGCAGUCAUCACCCUCCCGCCAUUCAAUGUCAGGGAUCAGCCCUUGCAAAGGAGCAGUCAUUGGACAAUGGGCACAAUCAGGGCUCUGGGUUUUUCUGUCCUGCUGCACAUUCGACCCGCCUUCCUCUGCUGAAAAGGCUGCUUUUCCACUAGGCAUGCCCUAUGUAUGGAAAAAACUUCUACCUCUGGUUUGCUUUCGUUUGUACCCACCCA
rnacentral:lncRNA from 1 species